rnacentral:rRNA from 1 species
AGUGAACGCUGGCGGUAGGCCUAACACAUGCAAGUCGAACGGCAGCACAGUAAGAGCUUGCUCUUACGGGUGGCGAGUGGCGGACGGGUGAGGAAUACAUCGGAAUCUACUUUUUCGUGGGGGAUAACGUAGGGAAACUUACGCUAAUACCGCAUACGACCUACGGGUGAAAGCAGGGGAUCUUCGGACCUUGCGCGAUUCAAUGAGCCGAUGUCGGAUUAGCUAGUUGGCGGGGUAAAGGCCCACCAAGGCGACGAUCCGUAGCUGGUCUGAGAGGAUGAUCAGCCACACUGGAACUGAGACACGGUCCAGACUCCUACGGGAGGCAGCAGUGGGGAAUAUUGGGCAAUGGGCGCAAGCCUGAUCCAGCCAUACCGCGUGGGUGAAGAAGGCCUUCGGGUUGUAAAGCCCUUUUGUUGGGAAAGAAAAGAAGCAGGUUAAUACCCCGAUGUUCUGACGGUACCCAAAGAAUAAGCACCGGCUAACUUCGUG